AUUGAACGCUGGCGGCAGGCCUAACACAUGCAAGUCGAGCGAGUGGCGGACGGGUGAGUAAUGUCUGGGAAACUGCCCGAUAGAGGGGGAUAACUACUGGAAACGGUAGCUAAUACCGCAUACUAUCGGCUGAACCCAUAUGGGAUUAGCUAGUUGGUGGGGUAAAGGCUAACCAAGGCGACGAUCCCUAGCUGGUCUGAGAGGAUGAUCAGCCACACUGGGACUGAGACACGGCCCAGACUCCUACGGGAGGCAGCAGUGGGGAAUAUUGCACAAUGGGCGCAAGCCUGAUGCCGCCAUGCCGCGUGUAUGAAGAAGGCCUUAGGGUUGUAAAGUACUUUCAGCGGGGAGGCGUUACCCGCAGAAGAAGCACCGGCUAACUCCGUGCCAGCAGCCGCGGUAAUUC
rnacentral:rRNA from 1 species